rnacentral:rRNA from 1 species
AGCGAGUCUGAAUAGGGCGCAUAGUUAGUAGGAUUAGACGCGAAACCUUGUGAUCUACCCAUGGGCAGGUUGAAGCUCUGGUAACACAGAGUGGAGGACCGAACCGGUUGACGUUGAAAAGUCUUCGGAUGACCUGUGGGUAGGGGUGAAAGGCCAAUCAAACUGGGAGAUAGCUCGUACUCCCCGAAAUGCAUUUAGGUGCAGCGUUGCGACAAGUUUAUUAGAGGUAGAGCUACUGAUUGGAUGCGGGGGUUUCAUCGCCUACCAAUUCCUGACAAACUCCGAAUGCUAAUAAAUGUUUCGCAGCAGUGAGGGCAUGGGUGCUAAGGUCCAUGUCCGAGAGGGAAAGAACCCAGACCAACAGCUAAGGUCCCCAAAUAUAUGUUAAGUUGAAGCAACGCGGUUGGACUGCAUUGACAGCUAGGAUGUUGGCUUGGAAGCAGCCAUCCUUGAAAGAGUGCGUAAUAGCUCACUGGUCGAGUGGUUGUGCGCCGACAAUGUAGUGGGGCUGAAGUGCACCGCCGAAGCCGCGGAAACCAUGCUUGUUUGUGUGUGGUUUGGUAGGGGAGCGUCGUGUGCUCGUGGAAGCUGCUGGGUGACUGGUGGUGGAGGGUAUGCGAGUGAGAAUGCAGGCAUGAGUAGCGAAUGACAAGUGAGAAUCUUGUCCGCCGGAUGACUAAGGGUUCCUGGGUUAAGCUUUUCUUCCCAGGGUGAGUCGGGACCUAAGGCGAGGCCGACAGGCGUAGUCGAUGGAUAACGGGUUGAUAUUCCCGUACCCGUGCAUGCGCGCCCAUGGUGAAUCAGUGAUACUAACCGCCCUGAAGCACGCGUGAUGGUCUUUGGAUUGUUGUGUGUGUGGAUGCGUGGGGCCUGAUCUGGUAGUAGUCAAGUGAUGGGGUGACGCAGUGUGGUAGCCGAGCCACUGAGUGGAUUGUGGUGUAAGCGUGUAGCCCGGCAUCUAGGUAAAUCCGGAUGCCAUGAGGGGUGAGGCGUGAUGCGUACCCGUUGUGGGGAUGUUGGUGAUCCAUUGCUGUCGAGAAAAGCCUCUAGCGAUGUGUGUGUGCGGCCCGUACCCGAAACCGACACAGGUGGUCAGGUAGAGAAUACUAAGG